rnacentral:rRNA from 1 species
GUGUCAGCCGCCGCGGUAAUACGUAGGCAGCAAGCGUUGUUCGGAAUUACUGGGCGUAAAGAGUGCGUAGGUGGUUGGCUAAGUUUGGUGUGAAAUCUCCCGGCUUAACUGGGAGGGUGCGCCGAAAACUGGUUGACUAGAGUGUGGGAGAGGGACGUGGAAUUCCUGGUGUAGCGGUGAAAUGCGUAGAUAUCAGGAGGAACACCUGCGGUGUAGACGGCGUCCUGGACCAUGACUGACACUGAGGCACGAAAGCGUGGGGAGCAAACAGGAUUAGAUACCCCAGUAGUCC